GACGAACGCUGGCGGCGUGCUUAACACAUGCAAGUCGAACGGAAAGGCCCUGCUUUUGUGGGGUGCUCGAGUGGCGAACGGGUGAGUAACACGUGAGUAACCUGCCCUUGACUUUGGGAUAACUUCAGGAAACUGGGGCUAAUACCGGAUAGGAGCUCCUGCUGCAUGGUGGGGGUUGGAAAGUUUCGGCGGUUGGGGAUGGACUCGCGGCUUAUCAGCUUGUUGGUGGGGUAGUGGCUUACCAAGGCUUUGACGGGUAGCCGGCCUGAGAGGGUGACCGGCCAUGUUGGGACUGAGAUACGGCCCAGACUCCUACGGGAGGCAGCAGUGGGGAAUAUUGCACAAUGGGCGGAAGCCUGAUGCAGCAACGCCGCGUGCGGGAUGACGGCCUUCGGGUUGUAAACCGCUUUCGCCUGUGACGAAGCGUGAGUGACGGUAAUGGGUAAAGAAGCACCGGCUAACUACGUG
rnacentral:rRNA from 1 species